CUGCUUCAGUGACUUCAUCCAGCCACCUCAUCCUCUGCUGGCCCCUUCUUUUCCCGUCAAUUGUUCCCAGAGCUGGGCAGACCUGGGUUCAAAUUCCCACUUAGGGUCUAACAAUAGAGUCUCUUAUUUUCCCCGUACCUCCAACAGCCCUUUCUUUUGCCAGCCAAAGCAGCUUCUGGGCAGCUUUAGAUGGAGUAGGGGGCAAGGCAGGCAGGGGGACAAGAUCUGUUCAGUCUGCUUCUUCUGAGCCAUUUGGUUGAGUUCAAGGAAAUUCUGGUCUCUGGCGUCAGCAAUAUCAAAGCAUAAUUUUCCACCCUCCUGUUUUAGGUCUGGCCGGAAGAUGAAGAAAACCCGCAAGUACGACAUCAUCACGACACCGGCAGAACGGGUGGAGAUGGCCCCCUUGAACGAAGAUGAAGAUGACGAUGAAGAUUCCACAGUGUUUGAUAUCAAAUAUAGACUGAAGAAGAGUUCUGGAGAACAUGAAGGCUUGCUCACAGCUUCGUGAGACGUUGGGCCUAGCUAAUGAGGCACUUUUUGUGAGUCUACCGCACAGAUGCCUCUCCGGAAUAAGGUCUCUUGUCAAGGAUGUUGCCCAGCUGUAACCAGCUAAGGGGACCUGAGAAUUCUGCAUUCGUCCAAUGGCCAGUGAUCACAGAUGUUGCUACUCCGUUCCUGUGUACCAGACUGAAAACAGGGAAGAAUGCUCUCUUUCUGGCCUCAGCUUUUCAGACGAGAGAGUUUGUUUUUUUUUUUAGUUGUUCCAUUACAGGUUUGCGUGCCUGUAAUGAACAAUAGAAUCAGGACUGUAGGCCAAUCUUGUGUCCCCAGGACAGAAGCACAAACGUUUAUUCAAAGAUUCCUAGGCACCUCAUGGACUCUCUUCUCUAAACAUUAAACUGGAUGGAUGUUUCUGUUGCACCAAGAA